GCUUGGUGUGGUGGUGCAUACCUGUAAUCCCAGCAGCUCAGGAGGCUGAGGCAGGAGGAUUUCAAGUUCCAGGCCAGCCUCAGCAAAUCAACAAGGCCCUAAGCAACUUGGCAAGAUGCUGUCUCAA
rnacentral:sRNA from 1 species